GACCAUAUUGUCUAGUGGUUAGGAUACCUGGCUCUCACCCAGGAGGGCCGGGUUCAAUUCCCGGUAUGGGAAUAAACA